rnacentral:rRNA from 1 species
GUGGCAGACGGGUGAGUAAUACUUAGGUAACCUACCCUUAAGAUGGGGACAACCUUCCGAAAGGAGGGCUAAUACCGAAUAAGACCACAGUGGCUGCGGCCACGGGGGUUAAAGAUGGCCUCUAUUUAUAAGCUAUCACUUAAGGAUGGGCCUAAGCACCAUUAGCUAGUUGGUAGGGUAAUGGCCUACCAAGGCUUUGAUGGUUAGCUGAUCUGAGAGGUUGAUCAGCCACACUGGAACUGAGACACGGUCCAGACUCCUACGGGAGGCAGCAGUAGGGAAUAUUGCGCAAUGGGGGAAACCCUGACGCAGCGACGCCGCGUGGGUGAUGAAGGCUUUCGGGUCGUAAAACCCUGUCGAGUGGGACGAAAGACGAUAUGGCUAAUAUCCAUGUCGAGUGACGGUACCACUAAAGGAAGCACCGGCUAACUACGUGCCAGCAGCCGCGGUAAUACGUAGGGUGCAAGCGUUGCUCGGAAUCAUUGGGCGUAAAGAGCGUGUAGGUGGCUAGAUAAGUCAGGUGUGAAAUCCCUCGGCUCAACCGAGGAAGUGCAUUUGAAACUAUUUAGCUCGAGGAUGGCAGAGGAAGGUGGAAUUCCUAGUGUAGAGGUGAAAUUCGUAGAUAUUAGGAGGAAUACCGGUGGCGAAGGCGG